ACCUGCCCACUGAAAUUUUAAAUGGCCGCAGUAUAUUAACUGUGCAAAGGUAGCAUAAUCAUUAGUCUUUUAAUUGAAGGCUGGAAUGAAUGGUUGGACGAAAUAUUGACUGUUUCAUAUAAAUUUAUAAUAAAAUUUUAUUUUUUAGUCAAAAAGCUAAAAUUAAAUUAAAAGACGAGAAGACCCUAUAAAUCUUAAUAUUUUUAUUAUUAUAAUUAUGAAGAUUAAUUUUAUUAUAUUAAUUAAAAAUAUUUUAUUGGGGUGAUAUUAAAAUUUAAUAAACUUUUAAUUUAUUAAAUCAUUAAUUUAUGAAUAUAUGAUCCAAUUUUAUUGAUUAAAAAUUUAAGUUACUUUAGGGAUAACAGCGUAAUUUUUUUGGAGAGUUCUUAUCGAUAAAAAAGAUUGCGACCUCGAUGUUGGAUUAAGAGAUAAAUUUGGGCGCACCGUUUCAAAAGUUAAGUCUGUUCGACUUUUAAAUUCUU
rnacentral:rRNA from 1 species